UGAGUAAUGUGGUCACCAACAGUGGAAAAAGUAUUUUUACCAUUCAGCAUAAUCUAGCUAAGAGAGGUGUAGCACAGGGUGAGGUGGUUACAAAGCAAUGUGGAGCAUGCCCAAUCUGAUUACGACAGCUGGCACUCAUCAGCUUUAUAUUCAGUACUGUUUAGCUAUAAAUAGAGUUGUAAUGUUAGUUUCUUUUCCAAGUUAACAUUCUCUGUUUUGUAACAAACUGUUUCCUGAGAGCUCAAUACAUACAGUUUUCUUUCUGAUUACAUCUGAAUCUAUCAAAGUGACAGUCCUGCUCCCGAUUUAUGCCCGAAAGGAUUUAUCUGCUGGAUUUACCUAAUAGCAUGGUCUAACAUAUGGAGCUCUUCUUUCGAUGGAGUUAACCGCGGUCAUAGAUUUAAACUUUCGUAAAUAACCCGUUAAGGACCAGCGUCACCGGGUCGUAGGCUUAGGGAGUUAGGGUUCAUGUUUACCCUUCUAGAACAAUUAUGAAAGAUGGCGGCGGCGUUUAGCCAUUGUACAGGAGCGAAGGACAGCAACGUGGCUCCUGAUUCUCCUCUUUAUACUCAUUGUUUGACACAACUCCUCAAACCCAUGUAUGUGGUCUUUAGUACUUCUGUUAAUCUGUUUGUGUGUGUGUGUGUGUGUAUAAUAUAUUGUAUCUCCCACUGAUCUUAGUAAAGAGAGUAGUUUAGAGUUGACUUGAAGUUGUCAAGUGAAGUGUUAAUUCUUAGAUGUGUACUAUUUAUCCCGACUUGGCUGAAAGUGACGAUACGUGUUCAAGUGUUGAUGUUCAAUUUUUUGUAUGUUAGGCCUAAAUAAAGGAUGAAGAAAAUUGAUUAAUCCAGGUAAUCGAGCUAUAAUUGAUAUGGUUGAAAGAUGUUUGUGAGAGACUUUAGCCCGUUUGUCAUAGUGCCCCCAAAAUUGAUAUUCUUCAAGGUGUAGUACUUUUGUCGGUGCUUGUGAAUAAUGUAGCCCAACUAAGGUCUAAGCAACGACAAAGGUAUUACACUUGAGGCAUAUCUGUUCGGGAUUGAUUCUGCUUCUUCCGGUGAUCAUCUACAGAAUGGGGCAGGAUACCCUCUCUGAGUAGAGAAUGGAUCAAACAGGGGCCAUAUGUUGCUUUUCCUAAAGGUCUUGUUACUGAAGGCCAUAUUUAUGCUAUCUUACUUGAUUUUGUGCAAUUAAAAACUAUAUUGAUAAUCGCAAUCUUACUUCAAAAUAGACAUGGAAUAAACUCUGUGACCUUGCUCAACACAAACCUUAUGCAGUUUGGGCUCUUUCCGUCUUUCAAAUUGCCUUCUUCCGUGGUUUUACAGGAUGAAACUGAAAUGACAGUCCAUGUCCACUUAAUGACCUCGGGUGACACUUUAGUGUAAAUGCCAUCUUUGCUAAGUACUCUCUUGUGAUCUUUAAGGAUUGUCUACUUCUUAAUAACUCUAUAGCCUAAAAAAUUCACUAUACAGGUAAGAAUAUCAGUCGAUGCAUGGUGGAGUGAACUAUGACGCGAAAUGGAAAGAUGGACCGAAGUCACAUAAUGGUGUCAUGCUAUUUUGCUCUAGUUUAAUCAGCCCUAAAUAUUGCCGUUUGUUUCAUACCAGUUUAGAGCAAUGUUUUAUGAACUCUUAUGUACAUUCUCUAGGCGUACUGCUUAAGUAAGAAUGCAAAUAUUAGUUUUUGGAUUCAAAUCUUCUGGACUGUUUACUUUGAUGUUCGUAUUAUCUGAAUUCUGGUGUAUAUUCUUUCCCAGUAACUUUUUGGUUAACUGUAUUUGGUUGAGCAUCUGUAACAUCGCUUUUAACCAAUCAGGUACCGGAGAAGAAUAUUGCUCAAAAUCUCUGUAAUCAACAUCGAAGUCCAGCGAAUUUGAGAUGAUGCUAUUUGAAGUUGGGAUCAGGAGAGAAGGAGACCGGAACGCCACAUUUCUGAGGGAUAGCAGCGACAUUUGAAAGCUGGACACCAUGGACUGCGGAAGAAGAUUGCUUAAGGCAGUUGCACAACACUUUCCUAUCUUGUGAGGUUUUAGCCAUUGCAUACACUCCUUUCACCGCGCUGCAACAUCCAGGAGAUGGCUGACCCACUGCACCUGUCGCAUAUGGGCUACACUGUGAAAUCGAUGCACCUAAAUCUCCACAGCUCAGGGCCUCCCCUCGAUCCACCAUCAAAUCAGCCACCAUUCCAAGUACCAUUAUAAGUUGAAGUAAGGAUCAGGAGAGAAGGAGACCGGAACGCCACAUUUCUGAGGGAUAGCAGCAACAUUAGAAAGCUGGACACCGCGGACUGCAGAAGAAGAUUGCUUAAGACAGUUGCACAAUACUUUCCUAUCUUGUGUGGUUUUAGCCAUUGCAUAUACUCCUUUCACCGCGCUGCAACAUCCAGGAGAUGGCUGACCCACUGCACCUGUCGCAUAUGGGCUACACUGUGAAAUCGAUGCACCCAAAUCUCCGCAGCUCAGGGCCUCCCCUCGUUCCACCAUCAAGUUAAUCGCCAUUCCAAACACCAUCACAAGACGUAUUGUAUCUGCUAUCUGCUGUGGAUAUAUUGAAUCGUUUCAAACACUUCUCUUUUUGUUCAAAUGGUCAAGACCAGAGCAGGAUGGUUUCUGGUUAGGCUUUGAUCGACUUUCUUUCUAUUUUGAGCCUAAAUGAAGACUGACAAUGGAUGAAUUGAUGAAUCGAGGUUUAGCUUUCAUGGUUAGAGGAUGUUUGUCAUGGUGCUGCCGAAAUAGAUAUUCCUCAAGGUGUAAUACUUUUGUAGAUGCUUGUGAAUAAUGUACUCCAACUGAGCAUCUACAGAAGUAUUACUCCUGAGGCAUAUCUCUUCGGGAUUGAUUCUGCCUCUUCCGGUGAAUUGUACAGAAUGGCUCAGGUAUCCUAUCUUCCCCUCUCUCUCCAUAUAUAUCCAGUGACUAGAAAAUGGAUCAAACAGGAGCCAGAGUAUGGCUUUUCCUGAUGAUUUUGUUUAGCAGGAUAUAGAUUACACUAUUGCAGAAGUUCAUUAUUUUUCUAUCUUGAUUCUGUGCAAUAAGAAAUUGAAUCGAUGAUUGCAACCUUAGUUACUAACAGAAGUUCAUAUUUUUUUAAAUCUUGAUUCUGUGCAAUAAGAAAUUGAAUCGAUGAUUGCAAUCUUAGUUACUAACAAAGAGUAAGUCUUUAAUAUAGAAGAAAGAGAUUUAAGCUAGUGUGUAUAAUAUUGACACAGAAAGGAAAAUUCAAUGAACACACAUAUAUUAAAAAAGAGGGAUCUUCUCGUUUAUUUCAUAUUCAUACAAUGACUGAUUAAAACUACAUAAAUGGCUUUUAUCCCCUCCUGUAGCUUCUCCAUGAUGCAUGUAAAGCUCCCUUUAGUUUAUACUGCACAAUGAAAACAAAAUUUGUUAUUAUGCAUGGUUUUUUAUAUAAUUAUAUAACAUGACUUUGUAACUGAAAGUUUGCAACAGGCCAUAAAUUUCGCAAUCUGAAAAUAGAAAAAACUUACGAAUUGCAAUUGAAGUUAGGAUCGGGAGAGAAGGAGACCGGAACGCCACAUUUCUGAGGGAUAGCAGCGACAUUCGAAAGCUGGACACCGCGGACUGCAGAAGAAGAUUGCUUAAGGCAGUUGCACAAUACUUUCCUAUCUUGUGAGGUUUUAGCCAUUGCAUACACUCCUUUCACUGCGCUGCAACAUCCAGGAGAUGGCUGACCCACUGCACCUGUCGCAUAUGGGCUACACUGUGAAAUUGAUGCACCUAAAUCUCCGCAGCUAAGGGCCUCCCCUCGUUCCACCAUCAAAUUAACCACCAUUCCAAACACCAUUAUAAGGCAAGCAAUUCUUGAAAACUUUGCCAUUCUCAAGUAUAUAUGUCUUUGUAUAUACAAGACUUGUGAGAAUGCUGAGGAUGAAUUUGCAAUUAGACAAUGUAGGUAUUUAUAGGCUAGUUUCGGAAUUUUUUAUUACAUUUGCUUAGGACGCCAAAGGCGACUGGAUUUAUCUGCUAUUAUUUUCGGAUAUAUAAAACCAUUGCAAACACUUA